rnacentral:rRNA from 1 species
UACGGAGGGUGCAAGCGUUAUCCGGAUUCACUGGGUUUAAAGGGUGCGUAGGUGGGCAGGUAAGUCAGCGGUGAAAUCCCCGAGCUUAACUUGGGAACUGCCAUUGAUACUAUCUGUCUUGAAUACCUUGGAGGUGAGCGGAAUAUGUCAUGUAGCGGUGAAAUGCUUAGAUAUGACAUAGAACACCAAUUGCGAAGGCAGCUCACUACACGGUUAUUGACACUGAGGCACGAAAGCGUGGGGAUCAAACAGG